GACUUACGUCGCAGUCCUCAGUCCCAGCUGGCAGUAUUCCCACAGGCUAUAAUACUUACCGAGGCAAGCUACAUUCCUAUGGAUUUAUCCUGCCACCAAAACUGAUGCUGGCCCAGUGAAAUGCGAGAUUCCCCUACCCACAAGGAGCAGAGGGCACAAAACACCAUGUCUGAUCAAAUGCCCUUCCCUUUCAACAAUUUCACGUACUUUUUCACUCUCUUUUCAAAGUUCUUUUCAUCUUUCCAUCACUGUACUUGUUCGCUAUCGGUCUCUCGCCAAUAUUUAGCUUUAGAUGGAAUUUACCACCCACUUAGAGCUGCAUUCCCAAACAACUCGACUCUUCGAAGGCACUUUACAAAGAACCGCACUCCUCGCCACACGGGAUUCUCACCCUCUAUGACGUCCUGUUCCAAGGAACAUAGACAAGGAACGGCCCCAAAGUUGCCCUCUCCAAAUUACAACUCGGGCACCGAAGGUACCAGAUUUCAAAUUUGAGCUUUUGCCGCUUCACUCGCCGUUACUAAGGCAAUCCCGGUUGGUUUCUUUUCCUCCGCUU
rnacentral:rRNA from 1 species